GGGUGAGUAACACGUGACUAACCUACCCUCUUGUGGGGAAUAACCUUCCGAGAGGAGGGCUAAUACCGCAUAACAUCGCGAGGUGAGACUCCUUGUGAUCAAAGGAGCAAUUCGCAGGAGGAGGGGGUCGCGGCUGAUUAGCUAGUUGGUGAGGUAAUGGCUCACCAAGGCAGUGACCAGUAUCCGGCCUGCGGGGGCGCACGGACACACUGGAACUGAAACACGGUCCAGACUCCUACGGGAGGCAGCAAGUGGGGAAUUACGCGCAACGGGGGAAACCCUGACGCAGCAACGCCGCGUGGAGGAUGAAGGUCUCUGGAUUGUAAACUCCUUUCGAUCGGGACGAUGAUGACGGUACCGGAAGAAGACGCAACGGCUAACUCUGUGCCAGGAGCCGAGGUAAUACAGAGGGUGCAAGCGUCGUUCG
rnacentral:rRNA from 1 species